rnacentral:sRNA from 1 species
UGUUGCUUAUACAUUCAUUAAUAUUAAUACAAAGAACUUGAGUAAAUUGAUGUACUUUUUCACUCAUAAUUUUUCUAUUACAGUUAAAUAUGAAAGGAUCAAAUUUUUGGUGAUUGCCUUAAAGAAUGCUGUGGAAAUAUAUGCUUGGGCUCCUAAACCGUAUCAUAAAUUCAUGGCAUUUAAGUCUUUUGCAGAUCUCCAGCACAAGCCUCUGCUAGUUGAUCUCACGGUAGAAGAAGGUCAAAGAUUAAAGGUUAUUUUUGGUUCACACACUGGUUUCCAUGUAAUUGAUGUUGAUUCAGGAAACUCUUAUGAUAUCUACAUACCAUCUCAUAUUCAGGGCAAUAUCACUCCUCAUGCUAUUGUCAUCUUGCCUAAAACAGAUGGAAUGGAAAUGCUUGUUUGCUAUGAGGAUGAGGGGGUGUAUGUAAACACCUAUGGCCGGAUAACUAAGGAUGUGGUGCUCCAAUGGGGAGAAAUGCCCACGUCUGUGGGUAGGUUAACCAUUCCUUAUCUCCUUCAGCAGUUACACCCCCCAAAUGAAACGAAAAUCAAGAAAUGUGAAACAACCAUUUGAUUCCAC